GACGAACGCUGGCGGCGUGCUUAACACAUGCAAGUCGAACGGAAAGGCCCUGCUUUUGUGGGGUGCUCGAGUGGCGAACGGGUGAGUAACACGUGAGUAACCUGCCCUUGACUUUGGGAUAACUUCAGGAAACUGGGGCUAAUACCGGAUAGGAGCUCCUGCUGCAUGGUGGGGGUUGGAAAGUUUCGGCGGUUGGGGAUGGACUCGCGGCUUAUCAGCUUGUUGGUGGGGUAGUGGCUUACCAAGGCUUUGACGGGUAGCCGGCCUGAGAGGGUGACCGGGAGCGUGGUGGGGUGUCGACGGCCCCGCGUCGGGCGGGCGUCAGAGGUGGUGUAUAUUGCAAGCUGGGCCGAUGUGUGCUGCAGCCCCCGCUGGGGGGGUCUGGCGGCCUGCGGGUUGUACUCCGCUUGCGCCGGUGCCGGAGCGGGGGUGACGGUCCGUGGGCAAGAACCACCGGUUAACUACGGGACGGCAGCCGCGGUAAUAUGUCGCACUCGACACGUGUGACC
rnacentral:rRNA from 1 species